GGUACCGUCAAGCUUCGUGGGUAUUAAUCACGAAGUUUUCUUCCCAAUCUGACAGAGCUUUACAACCCAUAGGGCCUUCAUUCGCUCACGCGGCGUCGCUCGGUCAGGCUUUCGCCCAUUGCCGAAGCUUCUC
rnacentral:rRNA from 1 species